CCCUUGCAAUUUCCAACCACCAUUCAAAUUUCCAACCAAAACAGUUGUAUAAAGAUACACAAUUUAACUAUUUAUAAACGCCACAUUUUAGAUCGAACCAUAACAUAUAUAUAUACAGUGACGCCACAUUACAUAAAGUCGUCUAUAUAUGCCAUAAUUUCCGGAAUACCAGUUGCAAAAUACCCAAACGCGGAUGAUAGUGUGGAUGAUUGUCCGACUCCGUCCCAAUUCUAAGUUGAUGGAUAUCACUAUAAUCAAGGGAAAAAUAAAAGCAAGUAAGCAUAUAGUUUAGUAAGUAAACAUAUGACAAGUGGAUAAAUUUCCCACAUGAUUACACCAAAAUAUAACUUUUAUCACAAACAAAUUUCAUUAUUUGGUCAAAUUCCAGCAAGCAGUAUUUCUGCAUCAUGGUCACUAAUUUAUUUUUAUCGGGAGCUAAAGGGCUCCAAAUCAAAUUCCGUAAAUUCUCCCUGAAACUAGAUUCAUAUAUAUUUCCACCAUAAAAUUUUCAGAAUUUUUGGUCAGGCAAAUUAGUACAGUUUAUUCAUUAAAGUUUCCCCUGUUUCACUACCCGACAGUCCUGACCUCCCCUUACAAAAAUUCACAUAACUCUCUAUAAAAGUUUCAAAAAAUGUUCUCGUUUAUUUAUAUUAAAAAUAGACUCAAAAAGGAAUCCAUUCAUAUAAAUUUCAAGCCAUAAUUAUUUUUUUAUAAUUUUUUGUGAUUUUACAAAGUUGGAACAGGGGAUUUCGAAUUCAAUCCAACCCUGUCUCAGUAAAAUUUAAAUAUCCCCAAAUAUAUAAUUCCUUUGCUUUCCCCACUUCUUUCAUAUGAAAAUAGACUCAUUCAGCUUCAAUUUAAUAUUUUAUUCAACCUCCAAUUCAUUUUUCAUCAUUUAUGGUGAUUUUUCAAAGUUGCCCAACUGCUGCCACUCAAAACAGUUUUACAUUCAAAUUGUUUCUUUUGUAUUUUUUUUAUUUUUCCUCCCAUCUUAUACAUGGGUUGAUUAAGUAUCAAACCCGAUAUUCCUCCCAUAAACCCGUCCACCACAUAUAUGAAUAUUCACCUUCUCAAUUUACUCGUUGAACACUCGGAAUGUUAACCGUUGUUGGUGGAUUCCGCACUUAGCACCACCAAUGAAUCGGGGAAUCAGCACACAGCAACCCCUUGGGGGAAUCAGCACUUAGCAACCCCCUUCACAUUUCAGAUGCGGUGGAAUCAGCACUUAGCAACCACCAAAUGGGUCGGGGAAUCAGCACUUAGCAACCCCUCGGGGGAAUCAGCACUUAGCAACCCCCUUUCACAUUUAAAAUACGGUGGAAUCAACACUUAGCAACCACCAAUAGGUAGGGGAAUCAGCACUUAGCAACCCCUCGGGGGAAUCAGCACUUAGCAACCCCCUUCCACAUUUAAAAUACGGUGGAAUCAGCACUUAGCAACCAUCAAUGAAUAGGGGAAUCAGCACACAACAACCCCUUUAUAUGCAAUAUGCUCCGGCCUAUUCCGAGUGUUCAACCAAAAACCGUGUUUUGCAACUCCUUACCACCUUUCCCAAUUUAACAACAUUUUUGGAAUCUUGCCAAACAUUUAUUUUAUAUUCAAAUAAAUCUCAACACAUAUCAAAUAAUACCAAAAUAAUACAUUAAGUCACGUGUUUACUUAUCUCGGUGCAAAAUAUCGUAAUUUUGCAAUUCACUCCACUAUCUUUUCUUUUCCUCGUUUGAGAUAAUCUUCCCGUCUCUCUUGAUCUAUAAUAGCAAAUUUAACUCGUUUAAUGUUCACAUUUAUUAAAAUAGUCCACCACCCAACUUUUUGAAAAAUUACAAUUUUGCCCCCAAACUUUUGCAUAACUACACUUUUGUCCCCAAGCUCGGAAAUUAAACUUCAUCACUUAUUCUUAUGUUUUAUGACAUGUUGAACACUUUUCCCUUCUAUGGAAACAUCAAAUUCUCACUCUAACACAUACUUUUGAACAUUAACUAUUUUUACCGAUUAUGUCAAUUUACUCGUUUUCGUUUAAAAUCGCUUAGCAAAAAUUAUUUAACAUAAUUUCUAGCUUCAUAUUCCACCAUAAAACAGCAAAAUAAACACAUUUCACAUAUGGGUAUUUUUCCAAAUAUGAAUCCUAACACGAAUUAUUACUAGAAUAAGCUAAACCGAGCUACGAGGAUUCUAAAAAUGCGAAGAACAUUAAAAACGGGGCUAAGAUGCACUUACUAUAAGCUUGAAAAAGCAAAGAAACCUUAGCUAUGGUGUCCCUUAAAAUUUGGCAGCAACUUAUGGAGAAGAUGAUGAUUUUUGUCAUCUUUUUCCCAUUUUAUUCUUUUUAUAACCAAAUGACUAAAAUGCCCCCACUUAAAAAAAAUCUAUUUCUCAUUUCUUAUGUCUAUUUUUGUCCAUCAAUUACUAAUGGUCUAAUUAUCACAUAAAUACCCCCAACUUAUAAUUUCAUAUCAAUUAGACACUUCUACAUAUAGAACUCAACUUUUACACUUUUUACAAUUUAGUCCUUUUGACUAAAUUGAGUGCCCAAACGUCGAAAUUUUCGAACGAAAUUUUUACAAAAAUUUUCCGUGAAAUUGUAGACCAUAAAAAUAUAAUAAUAACCAUAUUUUCCCUUGUCGGAUUUGUGGUCCCGAAACCACUAUUCCGACUAGGCCCAAAAUCGGGCUGUUACAGAUAGUACAAAUUUUCUCUAUUCGAUGUUAAACCAAAACAUGUUACUUCAUUACCAACUAACCUUACUAAAUAUACACCUUAUACUAGCCCAAGUGUUUAACCAUUCACCCAUGACAUAAAUAUAUUUUAUCUAUUAUUGCAAAAUAUAGAUGUGCUGCCCAAAUCAUAAUUCACCUCACAUAGUAAACGAGUUAAUUUUUAUCAUUUGUCAGAUAAAUUACAAAACAAGUUAUAUAACAAAAUAUAGAUACAUUUUAAACCUCACCAAUAAACAAAUUCUCAUGGCAUUAAAUAAUCAUCACGCAUCAAAGACGAACGUACUUGACAUUUCCAUCACAUAAACCGAAUUAAUCAAUGCAACCUCAAUGGUAUAAUCAUCCUUUUAACUUACUUAACCAGGCCAAAUUAUAUCAUCAUCUCACACAUAGAAUGACCCACCUAUCAUACUUCUCAAUUAUGUCACUUAAUAGACCAAAUAUACCUAACAUUUACCAUCAUGAUCAAUCCACAACCAAAAUACAUCCAUAUAUCAAAAUUACCACACACACAUAUAUAUAUACCAUGACUAAAUUUCUUAUACAUUUGAUCAAUUGCUUCUUAAUGCCGCAAUAAUUCUCUCAAUACCAAUAUGUAUUUACCAUUCAAUUUACCAUUGACCGAUUAUAAUCGGGCAUAUAACUAUUUAUACACAAUUCAUUCAUAUAUUUUAUUGUCCUCCUCCUCCUCUCCAUUCCACAUCCUUAAUGUAUAUAACACGCUUAAUAACAUUAUACAUAAUUUCAUUACUCACUUAUAUGUAAAUUUAAAGUUUCCCAUCUGAGUCAGAGUCACUAAAUUGUUUUAUUCCGGAGCUACAGAGCUCAAAAUUAAAAUUUGUUAAUUUUAUCUGAAACUAGUUUCAUAUAUAUUUUUACCAUAAAAAUUUCAGAAUUUUUGACUUAGCCAAUAAGUAUAAUUUAUUCUUUAAAGUUUCCCCUGUUGCACUGCUCGACAGUUCUAACCGCUCUUCACUAAAAAUUGAUUAUCUCAUUGUGCAGAAUUCGGAUGGUAUUCCCGUUUAUUUCUCAUGAAAAUAGGAUCUUUCAGGAUUCUAAAAAUAUAAAGUUUAACCCAUAAUUAAUUUUGUACAAUUUUUAAUGAUUUUCCAAAGUCAGAACAGGGGAUUCUGAAAUUAUUCUGACUCUAUCUCACAAAAUUUAUUAUAUCUCAUGAUUUACAAUUUCAUUGCUUACAUCGUUUCUUUUAUGAGAAACUAGACUCAAUAAGCUUUAAUUUCAUAUUUUACUCAUCUUCUAAUUUGAUUCCCACGAUUUUUGGUGAUUUUUCAAAGUUGGCACACUGCUGCUGCCCAAAACUGUUUUAGUGCAAUAUGUUGAUUACCAUUUUGACCCUAAACUUUUAACACAUGACAAUUUCAUCCCUAGGCUCAGAAAAUGAAAUUAUUGCAAUUUAAUCCUUGAUCCAAGCCUAAUAAUUCUCAUACAUAUCAAUAACAGCCAAUGGAUUCCAUGAAAUUUCAGAAUUUUUCCAUAAUUUCAAUACUUUUCAACUUAAUCCCUAAAACAUGUUUUCAUCCAAAAUUCUUUAAUAAAACACCUUUAAACAUCCAUUAACAUAUCAAUUUCAUCAUAAAAUAACAAAAAUCAUAUGAAAUUAUCAAUGGUAUCUUCCUAAACUUUCAAAAAAAUGAGAAACUAACAGAAUACUAAGUUGGACCUAAUUGUAAAAGUCUAAAAAUAUAAAAAUUUCAAGGAAAAAGUAAGAAUUACACUUACUUGAAGCUAAAAUAUGGAAUACCAGCUCUAAACCCUCUUCCACAGCUAU
rnacentral:lncRNA from 1 species